AAACUUUCAACAACGGAUCUCUUGGUUCCGGCAUCGAUGAAAAACGCAGCGAAAUGCGAUAAGUAAUGUGAAUUGCAAAAUUCAGUGAAUCAUCGAGUCUUUGAACGCACAUUGCGCCCCCUGGUAUUCCGGGGGGCAUGCCUGUCCGAGCGUCAUU
rnacentral:rRNA from 1 species